CCUACGGGGCGCAGCAGUGGGGAAUAUUGGACAAUGGGCGAAAGCCUGAUCCAGCCAUGCCGCGUGUGUGAAGAAGGCCUUCGGGUUGUAAAGCACUUUCAGUGGGGAAGAAAGCCUUGGGGCUAAUACCCUCGAGGAAGGACAUCACCCACAGAAGAAGCACCGGCUAACUCCGUGCCAGCAGCCGCGGUAAUACGGAGGGUGCGAGCGUUAAUCGGAAUUACUGGGCGUAAAGCGCGCGUAGGCGGUCUGAUAAGCCGGUUGUGAAAGCCCCGGGCUCAACCUGGGAACGGCAUCCGGAACUGGCAGGCUAGAGUGCAGGAGAGGAGAGUAGAAUUCCCGGUGUAGCGGUGAAAUGCGUAGAGAUCGGGAGGAAUACCAGUGGCGAAGGCGGCCUUCUGGACUGACACUGACGCUGAGGUGCGAAAGCGUGGGUAGCAAACAGGAUUAGAUACCCGGGUAGUC
rnacentral:rRNA from 1 species